GUGGGGAAUAUUCCGCAAUGGACGAAAGUCUGACGGAGCAACGCCGCGUGAGUGAUGAAGGUUUUCGGACUGUAAAGCUCUGUUGUUUAGGACGAAAGUGCCUGUUGCAAAUAGUUACAGGUAUUGACGGUACUGAACGAGGAAGCCACGGCUAACUACGUGCCAGCAGCCGCGGUAAUACGUAGGUGGCAAGCGUUGUCCGGAAUUAUUGGGCGUAAAGAGCAUGUAGGCGGGAAUCUAAGUCUGUUGUGAAAAUGCGGGGCUCAACCCCGUAUUGCGAUGGAAGCUGGGUUGCUUGAGUGCAGGAGAGGAAAGGGGAAUUCCCAGUGUAGCGGUGAAAUGCGUAGAUAUUGGGAGGAACACCAGUGGCGAAGGCGCCUUUCUGGACUGUGUCUGACGCUGAGAUGCGAAAGCCAGGGUAGCGAACGGGAUUAGAUACCCUAGUAGUCC
rnacentral:rRNA from 1 species